CAUCUCACUUUUCUUUCCGUGAAUAACUACGUAAGCUAAAAAAAAAUUAAAUAAAACCAGUACCGUGAGAAAACAUUUCUUAUUGACAUCCGGAUUAUAUUAUAUAGAAUUAUCCAUCAAAGUCUAUAAGUAAAAAUAAUUAUCCUAACAUUUUUUUAAAUAAUUAAUUCUUUAUUUUUUAAUUAACAAUUAAAAAAAAAACAAAUAAUUUAUUCAUUCUUCAAGAACCUUAAUGAAAGUUACAAUCUAUAAUUUUUUUUCUUUUUUCAGGGAAAUAGUGACGCUUCAAAAAGGUCAAGGACAUGGGUUUUUUUUUCACUCAAAAAAAACAUCUUUUAUUAUCAGAAUAUUCAAAUGAAAAAUUUUAUAUAAUAACCUGUCGUUCAUUGGCCCUCAACCGCCAAUCAUUCAAACGGUUGAUCUAUAGCUUUUGAAAGGAUAUUCUUUCUUUAUUUAAUCUCUCGAGCCUUCGUGAUUAAGAUGUAGUAGACAACAUCAAUGACCGAUUUUUUUUGUUGUAUUCGCGAAAUAAAUGCAAUCUAAACACUAGAGUGAACGAAUGUUCUAGAACUUUCGCAUGUGGCCUCGUUUCCGGCGCAUGGAUAUAUUAAAAGGUGCGCAGACCAUGAGGUCUUUGCUUCAUACGCGCGUAAGACAUGAAUUUAAUGAUAAAUAAUACCUUAUUUUUCAAUUUUGUGUGCAUUUAAAACAUAUAAAAUUUUUUAUCUGAGUUAUAAUUAAUAAUAGCUGACCGAAAUGUCAGUAAUUAGUUUAAUAACAUGAAUAAAGCGAAGGUCUUUUCUAUAAAAUUUUACACGAGGGUGCUCUCAAUAAUCUUCUAUUAUAUUAGAAUAGGUGUUGUAUUAGCGCAUGCGUCCAAGCUAUUGGUUAUAAUGGUAUAUAUCGACUUUAUCUAAUGUGUGACGAAGUACCAAGUCCACGACAAUCACUAAAAUGUACAUUUUUUCUUUUUAUUUUCAUUCUUAAAUCUCAAGUAUUUUUCUCACCACUUUACCACUUCAUUUACAUCCAAUUACUCUACCUAUGUAUAUAUUUCUUUUGGCGUAGAGCUUUUUACUUACGCUCUUAUUUGUAUGUGAUGAUGAUGGUUUCAUUGAGAAACAUUUUAAUGGGGUUUUUUUUCAUUUUUUUUUUUUUUAUUUUAUUUCAUGGAGCACGCGCCUACAGUCGGACACGAGCACGUUUUACUCGAGCGGGAACAGCUGCCGACAACCAUCGCAGGUGAAGAUCCAAUGGAUAGGACAGAUGUACCGUUUUAAGGGACGAUCCAAAGCUAAGGAAAAAGCUGAGCAAUCUUUGAACAUAAGUUUGACGAGUGUUACAACCUACGGAUUCAUGCCGAAAAUUAUACAAAUGUUCCAGGAUUACCAAAAGUACUGAUUUAUCAUAAUAAGUGGCAAAAAGUCUACAUGCUAUUUUAUUAUUAAUAAUAUUGAGAGAGAAAAUUUAAUAACUUUUUUAACUUAAAUGGGGAAGCUCUAUGACGUUGUUAUCGAAAAUCGAUUCGUUCCUGUUGUUACGAUGGAAAUAAUUGAGGUCAAAUGUAUAGGGGAAAUGAAAAUUUUAAUAUUUAUUCAAUGAAUCUAUAAACUAAUAGCCUGAAUAUUUUACAAGUUCAAACAGUUGUCCAUCGUUUACUUGACACAUAAAAUCGAACAAUCGAACAAAUUAUAAUGUAGAACCCAGGAAUGUCAUGUCUUAUGAAAUGUUAUUGAGUAUUAUAUAAAAUCAUAAGAAGGAGGUGAAGAUUAAGAUACAUCACAUAGUAAGUAAUGAAGAUUCAACUAAAUAUAGCACUCUACGACGAAAUUUUUCACUCUUCUUGGCGACUUAUCAAUUUUUCUUUCCUACUCAACACUUAAGCAUCAUCAUUUAGGUCAUUUUGGACUGUGAUAACUCUUUUUAUCCAGUUUAUAGAACGAGUCUUGUAAAAAUAAGAGUAUGUCAAAAAUUGCCUAAUCGAUGAUAAUGUCUUUAGAUUAAACAUAAUCAUUUCUAAGCAUUGAAUCGCUUGGAUGACGAAUCUACUCGUUACUAUUUCGGCACAUCUUUAUUAAAAUGUGUAUUAAGUAAGUGGGACGCGACUCUGGAAAGCACUCAACUACAGGUGGUUCUAAAAGUUUUCAUAGAAUUAAUUAUGUUAUGGGUUUUGUACCCUUUUGUUCGU
rnacentral:lncRNA from 1 species